UCGGUCUUUAACAAUAUAAACGGGCACUUUAUAUGGCCAAGUCAGAUUAUUUAUUUAUUAUAAAACAAACUAUAACCCCUAAUAAUUUAAAAUGUACAACAUCCAAUCAGUUAGGCAUAAACAUUCAAGUAUUGGCGUAAAAUACGAAAGCUAACUCUAAAGAUCGAAUAAAUCAUAAUAAUAUGCUUAUUAAUUAUGCUUCAAGGCUUUCACGUUAAUUUAUUAAUUUGCCAAAUAUGCAAA
rnacentral:lncRNA from 1 species